UCUGGUUGACCCUGCCAGUAGUCAUAUGCUUGUCUCAAAGAUUAAGCCAUGCAUGUCUAAGUAUAAAUAGUAUACAGUGAAACUGCGAAUGGCUCAUUAAAACAGUUAUAGUUUAUUUGAUAAUUGACAAUUACAUGGAUAACCGUGGUAAUUCUAGAGCUAAUACAUGCUUAAACGCCCGACUUUAUGGAAGGGUGGUAUUUAUUAGACUGAAGCCAAUAUUCCUUGUGUCUAUUGCGGUGAUUCAUAAUAACUGAUCGAAUCUCUUUUUGAGAUAAAUCAUUCAAGUUUCUGCCCUAUCAGCUUUCGAUGGUAGUGUAUUGGACUACCAUGGCAGUAACGGGUAACGAAGAAUUAGGGUUCGAUUUCGGAGAGGGAGCAUGAGAAACGGCUACCACAUCUAAGGAAGGCAGCAGGCGCGUAAAUUACCCAAUCCUGACUCAGGGAGGUAGUGACAAGAAAUAGCAAACCGGGAACCUCAUGGUUUCACGGUAUUGCAAUGAGAACAAUUUAAAACCCUUAGCGAGAAUCAAGUGGAGGACAAGUCUGGUGCCAGCACCCGCGGUAAUUCCAGCUCCACUAGCGUAUAUUAAAGUUGUUGCAGUUAAAAAGCUCGUAGUUGAACCUCUGUCUGGGGCUAGUUUUGGCUUUGGUCAGGCUAGUUCUAGGCAUCCGCCUACAAGACUUAGAGGGCAUUCAGUUGUUCACUAGGAGGAGUAGGCAUUUUACUUUGAAAAAAUUAGAGUGUUUAAGGCAGGCAAUCGCCCGCAUAUAUUAGCAUGGAAUAAUAGAAUAGGACACUUUUCCAUUUCGUUGGUUAUUGGAAUCGUGUAAUGAUUAAUAGGGACAGUUGUGGGCAUUUGUAUUUAAUUGUCAGAGGUGAAAUUCUUGGAUUUAUUAAAGACAAACUAACGCGAAAGCAUUUGCCAAGGAUGUUUUCAUUAAUCAAGAACGAAAGUUAGGGGAUCAAAGACGAUCAGAUACCGUCCUAGUCUUAACUAUAAACUAUUCCGACUCAAUGUUUGACUGGCUUAUAUAACCAGUUGAGCGUUGUAUGAGAAAUCAAAGUCUUUAGGUUCUGGGGGGAGUAUGGUUGCAAAGCUGAAACUUAAAGGAAUUGACGGAAGAGCACACCAGGAGUGGAUUCUGCGGCUUAAUUUGACUCAACACGGGGAAACUUACCAGGUUAAAACAAUAGUGGGAUUGACAGUUUGAGAGCGCUUUCUUGAUUGGUUGGGUGGUGGUGCAUGGCCGUUCUUAGUUGGUGGAGUGAUUUGUCUGCUUAAUUGCGUUAACGAACGAGACCUUAACC
rnacentral:rRNA from 1 species